rnacentral:rRNA from 1 species
UACGAGUGCCUCAAGCGUUAUCCGGAAUUAUUGGGCGUAAAGGGUGUGUGGGCGGCUUUGUUAGUCUAAUGUCAAAACCAGGGGCUCAACCUCUGAUCUGCAUUGGAAACGGCAGAGCUCGAGUGCGCGAGGGGUUUGCGGAACUCAUGGUGUAGGGGUGAAAUCCGUUGAUAUCAUGGGGAACACCGAAAGCGAAGGCAGCAAACUGGCGCGUCACUGACGCUGAAACACGAAAGCGUGGGUAGCGAAUGGG